rnacentral:misc_RNA from 1 species
GAUGAAGAACGUAGCGAAAUGCGAUACGUAAUGUGAAUUGCAGAAUUCAGUGAAUCAUCGAAUCUUUGAACGCACAUUGCACUCUCUGGUAUUCCGGAGAGUAUGCUUGUUUGAGUAUCUGUAAACAUCUCAAAUCUCUCUUCAAUUGCUUCAAUUGUGUCGAGAGAAUUGGAUUUGAGCGAUCCCGACUCCUUCGUCAGAAAGAGGAGGGUCGCUUGAAAUGCAGGUGCAGCUGGACAUUCUUCUGAGCAAAAAGCAUAUCUAUUUAGUCCCGUCAAACGGAUUAUUACUUUUGCUUCAGCUAAUAUAAAGGUUGAAUGAACUACCAACGCUGAUUGCAGGAAAACAUGUUCGUUUAUUCGGACUUGUAAACUCGAUCUCAAAUCAAGUAAGACUACCCGCUGAACUUAAGCAUAUCAAUAAGCGGAGGA